UACGUAGGGGGCAAGCGUUGUCCGGAUUUAUUGGGCGUAAAGAGCGUGUAGGCGGCCAAGCAGGUCAGCUGUGAAAACUCGAGGCUCAACCUCGAGACGUCGGUUGAAACCGCUUGGCUAGAGUCCGGAAGAGGAGAGUGGAAUUCCCGGUGUAGCGGUGAAAUGCGCAGAUAUCAGGAGGAACACCGGUGGCGAAGGCGGGUCUCUGGGCCGAUACUGACACUGAGGAGCGAAAGCGUGGGGAGCGAACAGG
rnacentral:rRNA from 1 species